AACGAACGCUGGCGGCAGGCCUAACACAUGCCAGUCGAGCGGACCCUUCGGGGUUAGCGGCGGACGGGUGAGUAACGCGUGGGAAUAUGCCCUUCUCUACGGAAUAGCCCUGGGAAACUGGGGGUAAUACCGUAUACGCCCUUUGGGGGAAAGAUUUAUCGGGGAAGGAUUAGCCCGCGUUGGAUUAGGUAGUUGGUGGGGUAAUGGCCUACCAAGCCGACGAUCCAUAGCUGGUUUGAGAGGAUGAUCAGCCACACUGGGACUGAGACACGGCCCAGACUCCUACGGGAGGCAGCAGUGGGGAAUCUUGGACAAUGGGGGCAACCCUGAUCUAGCCAUGCCGCGUGAGUGAUGAAGGCCUUAGGGUUGUAAAGCUCUUUCAGCUGGGAAGAUAAUGACGGUACCAGCAGAAGAAGCCCCGGCUAACUCCGUG
rnacentral:rRNA from 1 species